CCUACGGGAGGCAGCAGUGAGGAAUAUUGGUCAAUGGACGAGAGUCUGAACCAGCCAAGUAGCGUGCAGGAUGACGGCCCUAUGGGUUGUAAACUGCUUUUAUACAGGGAUAAAGUGGGGAACGUGUUCCCUUUUGUAGGUACUGUAUGAAUAAAGACCGGCUAAUUCCGUGCCAGCAGCCGCGGUAAU
rnacentral:rRNA from 1 species